CAACAUUGAAGCUGACUACAGGAUACAGAUGUUAACUGGCAGUGCGUUGUUGCCUGAUGAUGAUGUGUGGAAAGAGGACAGCUAUGGAUAAGAUGGGUGUAAAUUCAAAUUUGGAUCUCCAUGCUUCUGAAGAGAAUGUUACUUGGGCUAUUCUUUCUUUUUUCUUUUAUAAGACAGAUCUAACAAAUCCCUUUAUGACUGGGAAUUCUUUCCAUCUGGGACCAGCACUGGUUCAUUACCGUCAACUUAGCCCCACUUCUUUUCCUACAUCUCCCCAGAAGACAGUGCUGUAUCACUCCUUGGAAACUAGCAGACCUUCACCACUUGCGGAUACAGAACCUAGUAAGAACCCACACAGGUAUAGGAAAACAGCAGGUCAACCACCACAUGGUAAUUCGUUAACCUGCCUGAAGUAACCCAAGAUGAAAACUAUGUUCUAAGAAGACUGUACCAUUAAGAGGAAAUGAGUUAGAACAACAUCCUGAGAACUGUCAAGGAUGACAUUCCAGAAUGUUCUAAAGUACAUACCAGCUGCCAGCAUAAUUAUAAUGCAUGUAACAUAUUGAUAAAACAAAAUGAUUUAAA